rnacentral:rRNA from 1 species
AUUGAACGCUGGCGGCAUGAUUUACACAUGCAAGUCGAACGGUAACAGGCCGCAAGGUGCUGACGAGUGGCGAACGGGUGAGUAAUGCAUCGGAACGUGCCCAGUCGUGGGGGAUAACUACUCGAAAGAGUAGCUAAUACCGCAUACGAUCUAUGGAUGAAAGCGGGGGACCGUAAGGCCUCGCGCGAUUGGAGCGGCCGAUGUCAGAUUAGGUAGUUGGUGGGGUAAAUGCUCACCAAGCCAACGACCUGUAGCUGGUCUGAGAGGACGACCAGCCACACUGGGACUGAGACACGGCCCAGACUCCUACGGGAGGCAGCAGUGGGGAAUUUUGGACAAUGGGCGCAAGCCUGAUCCAGCAAUGCCGCGUGCAGGAAGAAGGCCUUCGGGUUGUAAACUGCUUUUGUACGGAACGAAACGGCUCUGGUUAAUACCCGGGGCUAAUGACGGUACCGUAAGAAUAAGCACCGGCUAACUACGUG